rnacentral:rRNA from 1 species
UGGGGAAUAUUGGACAAUGGGCGAAAGCCUGAUCCAGCCAUGCCGCGUGUGUGAAGAAGGUCUUCGGAUUGUAAAGCACUUUAAGUUGGGAGGAAGGGCAGUAAGCGAAUACCUUGCUGUUUUGACGUUACCGACAGAAUAAGCACCGGCUAACUCUGUGCCAGCAGCCGCGGUAAUACAGAGGGUGCAAGCGUUAAUCGGAAUUACUGGGCGUAAAGCGCGCGUCGGUGGUUCGUUAAGUGGAAUGUGAAAGCCCCGGGCUCAACCUGGGAACUGCAUCAAAAAAUGACAAGCUAGAGUAGGGCAGAGGGUAGUGGAAUUUCCUGUGUAGCGGUGAAAAGCGUGGAUAUAGGAAGGAAAACAAGUGGCGAAGGCGACCACCUGGGCUAAUACUGACACUGAGGUGCGAAAGCGUGGGGAGCAAACAGG